UGAUGACACUAGAUGAUGCAACUG
rnacentral:siRNA from 1 species